rnacentral:tRNA from 1 species
AGCGCUAUAGCUAAGUUAGCUAUAGCGCUGGUUUGUAAACCAGCGCUAUAGCUAAGUUAGCUAUAGCGCUG